rnacentral:rRNA from 1 species
CCUACGGGAGGCAGCAGUGGGGAAUAUUGGGCAAUGGGCGCAAGCCUGACCCAGCAACGCCGCGUGAAGGAAGAAGGCUUUCGGGUUGUAAACUUCUUUUCUCAGGGACGAAGCAAGUGACGGUACCUGAGGAAUAAGCCACGGCUAACUACGUGCCAGCAGCCGCGGUAAUACGUAGGUGGCAAGCGUUAUCCGGAUUUACUGGGUGUAAAGGGCGUGUAGGCGGGAAAGCAAGUCAGAUGUGAAAACCAUGGGCUCAACCUGUGGCCUGCAUUUGAAACUGUUUUUCUUGAGUACUGGAGAGGCAGACGGAAUUCCUGGUGUAGCGGUGAAAUGCGUAGAGAUUAGGAGGAACACCAGUGGCGAAGGCGGUCUGCUGGACAGCAACUGACGCUGAGGCGCGAAAGCGUGGGGAGCAAACAGGAUUAGAUACCCUUGUAGUC